AUGCUACUGCAUGAGGUGCACUUGGAUGAGCUCACUGAGGAUGACAUCUUAUGGAAGCACACGGAAUCUGGGCACUACUCCGUGGCCUCCGCUUACAGGGCACAAUUUUUGGGCUUGGUCCUCUCCCCCAUGGACCAAAUGGUUUGGAAGGCUUGGGCCCCACCGAAAGUCAAGUUCUUUGCUUGGCUCGCGCUUCAGGAUAGGAUCUGGACUGCUGACAUAUUGGAGAAGCGAGGAUGGCCUAAGGGCAUGUUUGGUUUCAAAUAA
rnacentral:rRNA from 1 species